rnacentral:rRNA from 1 species
GACGAACGCUGGCGGCGUGCCUAAUACAUGCAAGUCGAGCGGAAGUUGGAGAGCUUGCUCUUCAACUUUAGCGGCGGACGGGUGAGUAACACGUGGGCAACCUGCCCUGCAGAUCGGGAUAACUCCGGGAAACCGGUUCUAAUACCGAAUAGUUUUCGCCACCUCCUGGUGGCGUACGGAAAGACGGUUUCGGCUGUCACUGCAGGAUGGCCACGCGGCGCAUUCGCUAGUUGGUGGGGUAACGGCCCGCCAAGGCAACGAUGCGUAGCCGACCUGAAAGGGUGAUCGGCCACACUGGGACUGAGACACGGCCCAGACUCCUACGGGAGGCAGCAGUAGGGAAUCUUCCGCAAUGGACGAAAGUCUGACGGAGCAACGCCGCGUGAGUGACGAAGGUUUUCGGAUCGUAAAACUCUGUUGUGAGGGAAGAACAAGUACCAACUAACUACUGGUACCUUGACGGUACCUCACCAGAAAGCCACGGCUAACUACGUGCCAGCAGCCGCAGUAACAC